rnacentral:lncRNA from 1 species
GAUCACUCUCAACUUGAUAUUUUGAUCUGUCCGGUGGCAUAUUUGAGUCCCUUUCCCAAAAAAGCAUGGCCGUAUCAUUAGCCAGAUAAGAACUUUAGACGAAGGGGUUACAACUUGCCAUAGCUGACCCCAAUCUGGAGAAAAGACAGACUCAGCUGGAAGCAUGACCUCCCCAAGGGCUGCUGAGACCCUCAGAUUCUCAUUGCCACCCACCCCAACAUGCUUUCUGACUAGAAGAUCACCUGUUUAUCUCAGUUUUAUGUAACUAAUAAAAUUGUUUAUGUUUCUGGAUGUCCCAUGGGCAAACUGUACUCUUUUGGAUUUACACCCUUGCGAUCCCUGUAAGGACAGGUCAUCGCUUUUCAAUCUCUUCAAAACAUGGGCUUCUGGCCUGGUUUGGUCCAAUACAUAGACACUCUAGGUCCGUGGGAAGGAAAUGUCUCUUUCCCCAUCCCCUUCUUCCAUCCAGCCCUUUCUUUUGCUAUUUCCCUCAUUCUCCAGUUCUAGUUCCAUCAAUUUAGUUUAGUAUCUUAUGUUCCCAAAUAUUAAUUCCAGCCACUGUAUCUAAAAAGUUCAGCCUAUUUCUAAAGCACAAUUUUCUCUUAUCAGUUUAACCAAACGAAGGCUCUGAAAUGUCUAUUUCUCAUGAUACUCUAUAAUUUUAAAAUUAUUUAUGACUUUAUUUAAAAGCCUAAGUUUUGAAGUUUCCAAGCAACAUUCCUGUUUCUCUCUC